CGGAGCGCUUCUUUAAAAGGGGAGCUUCGCUGUACUGGGCGGAGUGCUCAAUCGGUUAGACCCAAGAGUAACAGCAUCAUAAACAAAACCAACUUUGAAAGACUUGAGAACACUGAUCAAUGUAAUGACAAAGUGUCAGAGGAGAGAAGAUGAAGUCUGCUACCCACUUCCUGACAGAGAAGAUGAUGGAUUCAGGAUGCAGAAUGAUACAUACUUUUUGGACAUGGCAUCUAGAUGUCUAGAGCAUUGGAGCUGGAAUCAGGAAGACCUGAAUUCAAAUCCUGCCUCAGUUAGCUGCAUGGCCCUGAGC